GGAGAACCGCGUGGAGGCUUGGCGCGCCUCGCUGCGCAGGGCGGACAAGGUACAUUCAGGUACAGCGCAUUCGCCGUCUACGCCGGCUUCUAAUGACAGCUGGGGCAGCGGCGGCGCGGUGGGCGUGUCGCGGCUGCGCCUCAUGUUCGGCGGCGCG